GACGAACGCUGGCGGCGUGCCUAAUACAUGCAAGUAGAACGCACAGUUUAUACCGUAGCUUGCUACACCAUAAACUGUGAGUUGCGAACGGGUGAGUAACGCGUAGGUAACCUGCCUGGUAGGGGGGAUAACUAUUGGAAACGAUAGCUAAUACCGCAUAAUAUUGAUUAUUGCAUGAUAAUUGAUUGAAAGAUGCUAUUGCAUCACUACCAGAUGGACCUGCGUUGUAUUAGCUAGUAGGUGAGGUAACGGCUCACCUAGGCGACGAUACAUAGCCGACCUGAGAGGGUGAUCGGCCACACUGGGACUGAGACACGGCCCAGACUCCUACGGGAGGCAGCAGUAGGGAAUCUUCGGCAAUGGACGAAAGUCUGACCGAGCAACGCCGCGUGAGUGAAGAAGGUUUUCGGAUCGUAAAGCUCUGUUGUAAGAGAAGAACGGGUGUGAGAGUGGAAAGUUCACACUGUGACGGUAUCUUACCAGAAAGGGACGGCUAACUACGUG
rnacentral:rRNA from 1 species